AAAAACUCCAUAUAAAUGCAUUCCUACCCUUUCUUUCACUGGGUUUUGAUUCGAAGCCUUCUCAGCAGCAAUGGGCAAAGGAAACACCUUAGAGGAGGACAAUAUUCCUGAGGAGGGAUCAUCAUACAUUUUAAUCACUCCAAGCCCAAGCACAGGGUGACCUCCAGGCAUGGUCCUCUCAGCCACAAUCAGUCAGUGGCAGUGAUCCAAGUGCCCACAAGGAGCUAUCUACAUCCAUCAGACUGCCAUCUAUAAGCACAUACAUGAGAUGGAAAGAAAAUACCUCAGAAUAUUUUAGCCAACAUGGGCAGGUACAUAGAAAAAAACCUAACAUUUUAGACACAGAUAAGUAUGUAUUCUAUGCCAGGUGUCACAUGAUGAAAUCUGAAGUUUUGGCAUCUG